rnacentral:lncRNA from 1 species
GAGAUCAUGAGGCAACAAUCAUGAGGACACGGCUAAGAAGACAGCAGAGAUGAGGAUUCCUGACACGGCAGAGCCACCGAACAACCUCAAAGCUGCUUUUCUUCAGCCUCACCCAUGACAGACAUCACGACUUGAACACAAAACUUUCCCUCUGAACCUGGAGGCACCCUGAGAAACCACUGACACCAUCCUACAGGCGAAUUCUUAUCCACUAACCAGUGUUGGCCACUAACCAGUGUUGGCAG